rnacentral:rRNA from 1 species
GCGCACCAGGCGCGAAAACUUCACACUGUGCGAAAGCACGAUGAGGGAAUCCCAAGUGCUUGCACGUAAGUGUAAGCUGUUUCUCUGUCUAAAACGCAGAGAGAGUAAGGGCUGGGUAAGACGGGUGCCAGCCGCCGCGGUAAUACCUGCAGCUCAAGUGGUGACCGUUAUUAUUGGGCCUAAAACGUCCGUAGCCGGUUUAAUAAAUGCCUGGGUAAAUUGUGUAGCUUAACUAUACGAAUUCCGGGUAGACUGUUAAACUUGAGACCGGGAGAAGUUAGAGGUACUCCUGGGGUAGAGGUGAAAUUCUGUAAUCCUAGGGGACCACCAGUGGCGAAGGCGUCUAACUAGAACGGGUCUGACGGUGAGGGACGGAGCCCUGGGGCGCAAACGGGAUUAGA